rnacentral:rRNA from 1 species
UACGAAGGGGGCUAGCGUUGUUCGGAUUUACUGGGCGUAAAGCGCACGUAGGCGGAUUGUUAAGUCAGGGGUGAAAUCCUGGAGCUCAACUCCAGAACUGCCUUUGAUACUGGCGACCUUGAGUCCGGGAGAGGUGAGUGGAACUGCGAGUGUAGAGGUGAAAUUCGUAGAUAUUCGCAAGAACACCAGUGGCGAAGGCGGCUCACUGGCCCGGUACUGACGCUGAGGUGCGAAAGCGUGGGGAGCAAACAGG